rnacentral:misc_RNA from 1 species
AAUGCCAUUGUAAAUUACUAACUUUUGUUAAAAAAAAUGUCAUAUAUUUUUGAAGAAAUAGUGCAUUUCAACUUCGUCUGUGUGAGUGUAAAAAAUCUUGAGACGAUGCUGUGCACCUGCCUGCAAAUUUUUGAAAAACCAUUUCCAACAGGUGGCAUUUAUAGAUCUGCAUUGUUAUGAUGAACUGCACAAUUUCUCAACUUAUAGCCCUGGGUAUUUUCCAUCUUUGAUUGG